rnacentral:rRNA from 1 species
CCCUUAGAUGUUCUGGGCCGCACGCGUGCUACACUGAGUGGAUCAGCGGGUCAGGUUGCGCGAAAGCGUUUCCUAAUCUUUAAAUCCGCUCGUGAUGGGGAUUGACGGUUGCAAUUUUCUGUCAUGAACGAGGAAUACCUUGUAAGCGCGGGUCAUCAUCCCGCGCUGAAUACGUCCCUGCCCUUUGUACACACCGCCCGUCGCUCCUACCGAUUGAGUGGUCCGGUGAGGCUUUGGGAUCUGAGCGGAAAGAGCGUUUCGCUGUUUCUGCUGGGAAAACUCAGUCGAACCUUAUCAUUUAGAGGAAGGAGAAGUCGUAACA